rnacentral:rRNA from 1 species
AGCGAACGCUGGCGGCAGGCCUAACACAUGCAAGUCGAACGAACCUUUCGGGGUUAGUGGCGGACGGGUGAGUAACACGAGGGAACGUGCCUUUAGGUUCGGAAUAACUCAGGGAAACUUGUGCUAAUACCGAAUGUGCCCUUCGGGGGAAAGAUUUAUCGCCUUUAGAGCGGCCCGCGUCUGAUUAGCUAGUUGGUUGAGGUAAUGGCUCACCAAGGCGACGAUCAGUAGCUGGUCUGAGAGGAUGAUCAGCCACAUUGGGACUGAGACACGGCCCAAACUCCUACGGGAGGCAGCAGUGGGGAAUCUUGCGCAAUGGGCGAAAGCCUGACGCAGCCAUGCCGCGUGAAUGAUGAAGGUCUUAGGAUUGUAAAAUUCUUUCACCGGGGACGAUAAUGACGGUACCCGGAGAAGAAGCCCCGGCUAACUUCGUG